rnacentral:rRNA from 1 species
AGUAAUAUAUCGGAACGUACCCUGGAGUGGGGGAGUAACGUAGCGAAGUUACGCUAAUACCGCAUACGAUCUAAGGAUGAAAGUGGGGGAUCGCAAGACCUCAUGCUCCUGGAGCGGCCGAUAUCUGAUUAGCUAGUUGGUGGGGUAAAGGCCUACCAAGGCAUCGAUCAGUAGCUGGUCUGAGAGGACGACCAGCCACACUGGAACUGAGACACGGUCCAG